CUCUCUGUACACGACUCUCUUGAUGGUUUUCUGGAAGAAAACGAUAACGGAAUCUUCUUCGUGUUUACACACGACGGAACAUUUAUUUGAAUGCAGGGAAAGGGGGUCCAGGACUCAUGUGACUUGUGAAGGCAUCAUGGGAAAAGAGCCAAAGGGAAAGACAAUUAAGUCGCACUCCACAAUCCCCCUCCCAUUUUAGUCCUGAGUGCAUUCAUGUUCAAAAACAAAAGGUCGAUUGUGAUCAUAAUGAUUCAUAUUGCUGUGACUUGUGAGGAAGAAAAAAAGAAAGUGAAACUCUUUUUGAGGUCUAAAUCUAAUUUUCACAUGAGCUUUUGCAGUGUUGUUGUUCAGUGGGAUAAGACUGAUUGUUAACACUACAUUGACUUUCAGAAGACUUCACACCAAAUCCACUCGGCGUAAAAGAGGAAAAAAAAGAGAAAUAGCAUUUUUCUUUGGCAUUUGGUUAAUGGUAGGUCACUGAUAUUCCCACGUAAAAGGAAAAACAAAUUCUCUCGUAGUUCUUUUUUUUUUUUUGUGUAUCAUUUUAAAUUGUAUCCCUUUGUAAUUUGUCUUUGCCAAAUCCUCUCUUUACCACCACUAAAUUUUUUCAAUGAAAAGUAAAAAAAGAAGCUUGUAAA